AUUGAACGCUAGCGGGAUGCUUUACACAUGCAAGUCGAACGGAGUGGCGAACGGGGGAGUAAUGAAUCGGAACGAGCCCAGUAGCGGGGGAUCACUAAGCGGAAGAGUAGCUAAUACCGCAUACGAUUGGAGCGGACGAUAGCGGAGUAGCUAGUUGGUGAGGUAACGGCUCACCAAGGCGACGAUCCGUAGCUGGUUUGAGAGGACGACCCGCCACACUGGGACUGAGACACGGCCCAGACUCCUACGGGAGGCAGCAGUGGGGAAUUUUGGACAAUGGGGGCAACCCUGAUCCAGCCAUCCCGCGUGUGCGAUGAAGGCCUUCGGGUUGUAAAGCACUUUUGGCAGGAAAGCGGUACCUGCAGAAUAAGCACCGGCUAACUACGUGCCAGCAGCCGCGGUAAUUC
rnacentral:rRNA from 1 species